AUGUACAUGCCUACAAUGUUAAUGCACCUGAUCCUGUUAGAACUCUGUAGUUAAGUGUACUUGGGAUAGAGUAGUAUUGGGAUGGGUGACCUCUUGGGAAGUCCUAAUGUUUUACAUU
rfam:Picea glauca, whole genome shotgun sequence.